UAGGGUGUCAGAGGCUGGACUGCAGUCAACAUUACAAAUGUAAGGGGAGGACAAAUCAAGAGGCUAUCAGAAGAGUCAACACACGAGAAAGAAGACCACCGCUGAUUAAGCGGGUGUUCCUAAGGACUGACUGUGGAUCAGCUGUCCAGAUGAGAGAGUGGAGUGAGUCGGAGAUGACCAUGUCUGCCGGUGGUUACCUCUCUGCCUUUGAUGGAUACGGCAUCUCCGAGCCUCUGCAGUACUACGAUGUGCUAGGGGACCCUUUGGGCUACUCUUUCCAGGAGCCAGACCUACAGGGCCUAGCCUUCAGCCAACAGCAGUACAGCCCCGUCAACCUGCAAUUCUCUGUCUACGAACCACCGUCCUCCCAGCCGUGCCACCCACCCUACACCCACCCCUACAGCCCCCACUUCCUGGAGGCUCCCUGCGAGCCCAGCCCAGAGCCCCAGUGUGGAGGCCUGGGGAAGGUGGGUGGUGGAGGUCUGCCCCUGGUCAAGAGGACCAGGCUGGGCCCUGGAGGGUGGGUGAGGGGCCUGGAUGAGCUUUGUGUGGUGUGUGGAGACAAAGCCUCUGGCUACCAUUACAAUGCCCUCACCUGUGAAGGCUGCAAAGGUUUUUUCCGAAGGAGUGUGACAAAGAAAGCAGUGUACCGGUGUAAAAGUGGCGGAGGCUGUGAGAUGGACAUGUACAUGCGGAGGAAGUGCCAGGACUGCCGCCUGCGUAAAUGUCGUGCUGUGGGCAUGCUAGACGAAUGUCUGCUGACGGAGGUGCAGUGCCAGUCAAAGAGGCUGAGGAAGGGAGCCAAGCACAGAGGUGGAGGGCCUGAGGAGGAGGAGAACAUGGAGAGCAGGAGCGUCAGCUCCACCAACAGGCUGCUAGGACAUGUGGUGUCUGCAAAUCUGUCAAGAGAACAGAAUCAUGUGCUGGACAGGAUAGUGGAGGCUCUUCGGCAGUACAGGGCGCAGUACACUGUACACUGUAGGGUGUUUGAGUGGACUUGUACAGAGGAUGGUGGAGACAGACUAAUGGACGUGGCCUCCCCUCCCUCUCAGAGGCUGCUGCAGUUUGCCAAGAGUGUACCUGGCUUUGAGCUCCUGAACUGCUCGGACCAGAGCACCCUCCUCUCUAGUUCCUCUGUGGAAGUCAUGUUUCUGCUCUCAGCGCAGCAGUUCACCCAAAACCCGGCAGCCUGUAGUCCAGCACUACAGCCUUUCAACAUCUCAUCUCAUCAUUGUCUGAAAAUGAAGGAAAACAUUCAUAGUGGGACUGGCCCUGUAAACUCAGGCAAAAAAUAUGCUAGCCCGGAGAAUCUGGACAUUGCUAAAUAACCAGCUAAACCACUUAUUAAAAACUGUUUGGAUGAAACCAAAACACGUAAGUCGAAAAUAUGCUAAAACUUCAAAAUAGUGAACUAAAACCUUCAAAGAAGUUAGAAUGAAGUGUUGCAAUGGGGCAAAAAAGGAAAUUAUGUGUUUUUACUCUAUGCUUCAAUUGUGUGUCUUAGCUUGUGUGUCUGUGUGCAGGAAUCAAUGAGGACCUGCUCGGGCCGGUGAUCAACUUCUUCCACAGCAUGGCAGCAUUGGGGGUGACCGAGGCUGAAUAUGCCCUGCUCACUGCUACAGUACUGCUAUGCUCAGACGAAGCGUCGCUGCGGGCGGUUACGUGUGUGGAAAGCUUACAGGAGCUGAUCCUGGAGCUGCUGUCCAGGGUGUGCGGAGCCUGGUGUGGAGCCCAGGGCCCUCAGGGAGCCCAGCGCUUCGCGCGCCUGUUGGGGAGACUUACGGAGCUGCGCACGCUACAACACAACCAUCUCACCCUGCUCCGACAACAGCCCUGAGACAGACAUUGAGCACGGAGAGACAGGGAUACAAAUAGUUUAAAUAAGGACUUAGUUUAAUAGUUUAAAUAAAGACUUAAUUUUGUAUGUUUUCUCGAAUUUGUACCCAAAAAAUGUAAGUAACACAAUUGGCCAUUUAUGAUUAUGCGGUUUAUCAUGAAAAUACCAUUCUUUUGAGUGACUGGUUUUACUGUAAAGUUUAAAGUCAAUGACCAGUAUUAAACCAAUAUGAGUUUUGUUAUAUGGAGUAUACAGAUGUAUUAAAAAAGAAUUUUAUCAUA